rnacentral:rRNA from 1 species
UGGGGAAUCUUGCGCAAUGGGGGAAACCCUGACGCAGCAACGCCGCGUGGGUGAUGAAGGCCCUCGGGUCGUAAAGCCCUGUCAGGUGGGAAGAAACUUAUGGGUGAUAAUACCAUCCAUGCUUGACGGUACCACCGGAGGAAGCACCGGCUAACUCCGUGCCAGCAGCCGCGGUAAUACGGAGGGUGCAAGCGUUGUUCGGAAUUAUUGGGCGUAAAGCGCGUGCAGGCGGUCGGGUAAGUCAGAUGUGAAAGCCUUCCGCUUAACGGAAGAAGUGCAUUUGAAACUACCCGGCUGGAGUACGGGAGAGGAGAGUGGAAUUCCCGGUGUAGAGGUGAAAUUCGUAGAUAUCGGGAGGAACACCAGUGGCGAAGGCGGCUCUCUGGUCCGAUACUGACGC